UGCCAACUGGAACAGGGCAAGAGAGGGAGGUGAUUUCCACUUACUGCCGGGGUGUCCUGGAUUGGACCGUAUCCUGCAACAGAAAGAAAUGUUGCAGAAUUGGAUCAGUGAUAGAGACGAGGAGCUGACAGGAGGAUCAAACUACUGAAAUAUAUGUGGCUUCUGUCUGCCUGCCACAUCUCUUGGUACAGCGAGCUGUCUAAGACCAUUAGCCCUGACAGCACUCCUGGAUUUUCACCUCAGGGCUUUACUGGAGUGGGCUUUGACGUGUUUGCGCAGGGAACUGGGGUCCGUGUAACGCUUGGUGCAUCCUGGGAGCUGACAUGCGUAUGGUUUCUACAAGAAAU